rnacentral:rRNA from 1 species
UACGGAGGGUGCGAGCGUUAAUCGGAAUUACUGGGCGUAAAGCGUGCGCAGGCGGCCUGCCAAGCCAGGUGUGAAAGCCCCGGGCUCAACCUGGGAACGGCACUUGGAACUGGCAGGCUCGAGUUGGGUAGAGGGGGGCGGAAUUCCGGGUGUAGCGGUGAAAUGCGUAGAUAUCCGGAGGAACACCAGUGGCGAAGGCGGCCCCCUGGACCCAAACUGACGCUGAGGCACGAAAGCGUGGGUAGCAAACAGG